GACGAACGCUGGCGGCGUGCUUAACACAUGCAAGUCGAGCGGAGCGGCGAACGGGUGAGUAACGCGUGAGUAACUGCCCCCAUCUCUGGGAUCAAAGUUGGAAACGGCUGCUAAUACCGGAUAGUGGGGGAUGACUCGCGUCCUAUCAGCUUGUUGGUGGGGUAGUGGCCUACCAAGGCGACGACGGGUAGCCGGCCUGAGAGGGCGACCGGCCACAUUGGGCGGAGAGAAUGCCCAAACUCCUACGGUAGGCAGCAGUGGGGAAUGUUGCACAAUGGGUGAAACCCUGAUGCAGCACCGCCGCGUGCGGGAUGACGGCCUUCGGGGUGUAAACCGCUGUCAUCCAUGACGCGGUAGUGGCAGAAGAAGCACCGGCUAACUACGUGCCAGCAGCCGCGGUAAUUC
rnacentral:rRNA from 1 species